GAGCCAUGGCAUUGCUCCUUGCCUCCUUCCAGCUUCUCCUUCAGUUCCAGGCCGAUAGCCAGUUAAACCCAAAUAUACAUCUGCUCUUUCUUUUGCCCGGUUACAGCGUAGCUUCUCUCAAUGCUUUGCCCCCCUCAUUCCAUUUAUGUUUUAUUCCUGUCAUCUUCGUGACCUAGUUAGUUUCCUUUUCUUUGCCGCGUUGUUUAAGAUUUCCAUUGUAUUUCUUGUUUUGCAAUUCAUUUGGUGCUCCAAGAUUGUGGCUUUGACUACAUGUGUAAGAAGAGAGCUCUCUUCAGUCCACUCUCAGAUGGCUGUAGGGUUUUAUUAGCUGCCGAAUCAUCCAUUCACCUACCAAGAAAGUUGCAGGAGUGUAUCUCUUGGUAGCGGACUGGAUGACGCGGGAGCUAAAAUUUAGCUCUGCGCCGUUUGUGGUUGGACUGAAGGGUGCUCCCUUGCUCAAGCACUCGUGCAUAAAAUCAUGCCCUAAUGUUAAUAAUAAUCUUCAGAUUUCUAUAUGAGUUUUAUGUCCAGUGUGUUCAGUUUCAAGAUUUGGACUUUUUUUUUAUAUCAGUGGUCAAUGACCUGGGAAAUCUACAGACAGAAAUCUACUGAAGCAUUGACUAGACUAUCCAAGCCUGUCUGGAUAUGGCUUGUCAUCAACAGUGCUUUAUCAUCAUUCUUAAGCUGUAUCUACUGAAGUAUGAUUUGAUUCGGUUUGUGUUUUUACUAUACUGGUGAGGAAGGAAUAUAUGUCCCCAACUGUAUGCUGUUAUUGUACAUACAAUAUUCAGGGUGUGUUUAGUUCACGCUAAAACUUAAAGUUUAGUUAAAAUUGGAACGAUGUGAUGGAAAAGUUGAAAGUUUGUGUGUAAGAAAGUUUUAAUGUGAUAGAAAAGUUGGAAGUUUGAAGAAAAAGUUUGAAAGUAAACUCGGCCUCAGUUCAAAACUACAGGCAUGUAAAGCAUUAUUAGUUAAAAAUGUCAACGUUAACAUUAUUGUAAAUGUGUCUAUGCAUGGAAAUCUCUUUAUUCACAUCCUGCGGCCCGUACAUAUUGCAUAAGUGCUCAGAUUACCACGAGGCCUAGAAGGUUUUACUGAGAUCAUUGCCGAAAUCCACUUUCAGGGGCAGCUAGCCAGCUAAACAUUGACUUUCUGUUACUCAGAUUCUUCAGGUCAGUUAAUUCAGAAGUUGGCAGUUUGUUAAUGAAUUCUCUUACGGCAUUCUGUAACUAGCUAGCUAUUGUAUAAAUUAAGACCUAUAUUUAAUUUACUAUUUGGGUAGAGAUCGAUGAGUUAUAUUUGUGUAAAGAGUGAUUGGAUCUACUAUCUCUAGGAUCUGUUGUAGGGAAUUAAACGCAACUUCAAGGAUUAGUGGUGCUUACAUGCAUGCAUGCACAUUGGACACAUUGAGAUUGAUCUGUUGUAUACAUCAUCAGAGGAGGAUGUAAACCCAGAGGACAUAUACUAGUACUAUAUGGUUAAGGAUGGCUUUCCCGGAACAUAUAUAUCAAAUUAGCAAUCAUGUAGUAUUUUUCUUUUGC
rnacentral:sRNA from 1 species